UGGGGAAUAUUGGGCAAUGGGCGCAAGCCUGACCCAGCCAUGCCGCGUGAGUGAUGAAGGCCUUCGGGUCGUAAAGCUCUGUGGGGAGGGACGAACAGCCCGGGGGUUAAUACCCCUCGGGUCUGACGGUACCUCCUUAGCAAGCACCGGCUAACUCCGUGCCAGCAGCCGCGGUAAUACGGGGGGUGCAAACGUUGCUCGGAAUUAUUGGGCGUAAAGCGCACGUAGGCGGUCCUGUAAGUCGGGUGUGAAAGCCCCAGGCUUAACCUGGGAAGUGCACUCGAAACUGUAGGGCUUGAGUACGGAAGAGGGUCUCGGAAUUCCCGGUGUAGAGGUGAAAUUCGUAGAUAUCGGGAGGAACACCAGUGGCGAAGGCGGAGACCUGGGCCGAUACUGACGCUGAGGUGCGAAAGCGUGGGGAGCAAACAG
rnacentral:rRNA from 1 species